UUACACACAAAAGCAAACGUGAUGACUUUUAUUGAAGCUUCUGAAAAAUAGAAACAUGAUUAAAAUACCUUCAUAAUUUAUGUGGCUGGCGUUGGUGGAAAGCCACUACGGCACGACAAGCCC